rnacentral:rRNA from 1 species
UACAGAGGGUGCGAGCGUUGUCCGGAAUCACUGGGCGUAAAGGGCGCGUAGGUGGCGCUGCAAGUCGGUGGUGAAAGCUCGCCGCUUAACGGCGAGUCGGCCAUCGAAACUGCAGGGCUGGAGCACUGUAGGGGCAGAUGGAAUUCCGGGUGUAGCGGUGGAAUGCGUAGAGAUCCGGAAGAACACCAGUGGCGAAGGCGGUCUGCUGGGCAGUUGCUGACACUGAUGCGCGACAGCGUGGGGAUCAAACAGG